GACGAACGCUGGCGGCGUGCCUAAUACAUGCAAGUAGAACGCACAGUUUAUACCGUAGCUUGCUACACCAUAAACUGUGAGUUGCGAACGGGUGAGUAACGCGUAGGUAACCUGCCUGGUAGCGGGGGAUAACUAUUGGAAACGAUAGCUAAUACCGCAUAAUAUUAAUUAUUGCAUGAUAAUUGAUUGAAAGAUGCAAUUGCAUCACUACCAGAUGGACCUGCGUUGUAUUAGCUAGUAGGUGAGGUAACGGCUCACCUAGGCGACGAUACAUAGCCGACCUGAGAGGGUGAUCGGCCACACUGGGACUGAGACACGGCCCAGACUCCUACGGGAGGCAGCAGUAGGGAAUCUUCGGCAAUGGACGAAAGUCUGACCGAGCAACGCCGCGGGAGUGAAGAAGGUUUUCGGAUCGUAAAGCUCUGUUGUAAGAGAAGAACGGGUGUGAGAGUGGAAAGUUCACACUGUGACGGUAUCUUACCAGAAAGGGACGGCUAACUACGUG
rnacentral:rRNA from 1 species